rnacentral:ncRNA from 1 species
GGGACACAGUCCCAUGGAUGUGGCGAAAGCUGAACGAAAAG